AGGAGGAUAGCUCAAUUAGGCUAGAGUGGCGGUCUCCAAAACCGCAGGUUGGGGGUUCAAUUCCCUCUCCUCCUGCCA
rnacentral:tRNA from 1 species